CUCUAAGUAGAGAUAUUAGUGUAUCACCUGUAUGUUUCAGAUGCUGCUGCUGGACCAAGUCAUGUGACCUACGUCCAGAUUCAACUCAAAAAGUUGGACAAGAAAAUGAAAGAAAAGCCAGCUGAUCCAAAAGAAAGUCCAGUCUACUCUGAGGUGAAGACAGAGAAAGCCACAGCAGCUGGACCUGUUGAUGUGACCUAUGCUGAUGUUGACCUCCAAAAGAAGACCAAAGCCAAGAAGAAGAGAGAAACAACAACCCCACCAGAGGCAGAUUCAGUCUAUUCUCAACUGAAGCCAGUCUCAACCCAAGGUCCUUGAGGGAGAUGGAGGGACACACCAUCAGAGGAGAAGCAGGAGCAAUCUGGGAACAUGGGUUAUGCAUGCUCGACGUAUGCAAGCACACUCACAUGCAGGCAUGCUCACACACACACAUAAACAAACAAAACGUGCGCGCACACACACAUGCACACGAACACACAAAUACAGAAAAAACACAUUAAUUCUUACAAGUGAACAUGUGAAGUAUUCCAAAAACACAUGUUUCAUGUGAUCACGUGAUCUUAUUUGAAGUUAAUGUGAUAACAUGUGACAACAUGUGAAGCAACAAACUACACAUGUGAAAACGUGAUUUCACGUUACAUUUCUCAUGUGUUUUUUCUGUGAGGGACACACACACAAUAACACCUUGUACAUGAAGGAUUUGUAUGUUAUUUUAAUUUACCAGAUAAAUACAACACAUAUAUUUAAUUUAACCAUGUGUGUAUUACUG